rnacentral:rRNA from 1 species
UACAGAGGGGGCAAGCGUUGUUCGGAAUUACUGGGCGUAAAGGGCGCGUAGGCGGCCUUCUAAGUCGAACGUGAAAUCCCCGGGCUCAACCCGGGAACUGCGUCCGAUACUGGAAGGCUUGAAUCCGGGAGAGGGAUGCGGAAUUCCGAGGUGUAGCGGUGAAAUGCGUAGAUAUCUGGAGGAACACCGGUGGCGAAGGCGGCAUCCUGGACCGGUAUUGACGCUGAGG